UACUGCAGUGGGCUCUGAGAUGACGUGUGGCCACCUCACUGGGUGACCUUGCACUUCUGUGAGGCUCUGCUUCCGCGUGCACAGCCUGGGACAGUGCUGCCUCCACACAUUGCUAUCUCCUGAAUAAUCAGCACAGCAAUUCCAGUCAGCGCAGGGCAGAAAAAUCUAUUUUCAAUAAAAGAUAAAAUAGAAAAAAAAAAAAAAAAGAAGAGCAAACUGCCUCUGGAAAAACCUGCAUCCACUGGCUGUUUGGGGAACAGGAGCAAGAUCUUCUGCUGGGAUGCCCAGCCAUGCUGAAAGGAGCUGACACCAGGGAUCCUCUCUGACUCUAAGGAAGUUUGUUAUUGGCAUAUAAAAACGAUACUGCUGAGGGUGUGGAGAAUGAACUCACACACAAUGCUGCCUGGAAUGUAAACAGCACAGUCACCAGAGGACAUUGAAACUAGAGCUUUCUAUGAUUCUACUGCCUGACUAUAUAUUCAAGGGAAAUUAAAUCAUCAUGCUAGAGAGAGACCUGCAUAUCCAAGGGAAAUUAAAUCACCAUGCUAGAGAGAGACCUGCAUAUCCAAGGGAAAUUAAAUCACCAUGCUAGAGAGAGACCUGCAUACCUGCGUUUGUUGUUGUGCUAUUCUCCAGAGCCAAGAUACAGCGUUAGCCUAGACAGGAUUUCUCUGCGUAACAAUCCUGGCUCUCCUGGAACUCACUUGGUAAACCAGGUU